CAGCCGCCGCGGUAAUACGUAGGGGGCGAGCGUUACCCGGAUUCACUGGGCGUAAAGGGGGUGUAGGCGGCUCGGUAAGUCGGGUGUGAAAUCCCACGGCUCAACCGUGGAAUUGCGCCCGAAACUGCCGAGCUUGGGGCCGGUAGAGGGAGACGGAACUGCCGGUGUAGGGGUGAAAUCCGUAGAUAUCGGCAGGAACGCCGGUGGGGAAGCCGGUCUCCUGGGCCGCGCCCGACGCUGAGGCCCGAAAGCUAGGGGAGCAAACCGGAUUAGAUCCCCGGGUAGUCCUAGCCGUAAACGAUGCCCACUAGGUGUGGGGGAGUAUUUCCUCCGUGCCGAAGCUAACGCAUUAAGUGCCCCGCCUGGGGAGUACGGCCGCAAGGUUGAAACUUAAAGGAAUUGGCGGG
rnacentral:rRNA from 1 species